rnacentral:lncRNA from 1 species
AAAAAAAAAAAAUAGAAUGUCUCUCUAGGUGUGGCAUGUCUAUUUCUCUCUGUCUAACGUGUUUCCUUCUUACGUUUUCCAUAAACUUAUAUUGAUUAUGUAACUUUACAAAAUCAUAAUCGACAAUAACAGGAAAGAAAGGAUGCAGGAGGAAUGUAGGCCUGGAUUCCUUGUGAUACACGGAGUAGGGCUGUCCAGUAAAAUACAGGAUGCCCAGUUAAUUUGAAUUUUAAACAAUGAAUAAUCUUUUAGUAUAAGGAUGUCCUAAAUAUUGCACAGCACUGGUGCUAGACAGAGAGGGGGCAAUAUCCCAGAUCUUCUGGAACCUGUCCUUUCGGGGUCCAUUCCCUCUAUGACCCAGAAGUGAUCCAGCCACCAUCCCAAUACCUGAACAGUGUGAUGACCACCUUCCCAGAAGGGAACUGGCUCAGGAAGCCGUCCAGCAGGAUUGCCCACUGCACACCAAGCGCCAGCAUGAAGAGGUUGAAGGCCACACUGCUCCAGCUGUGUCUCCGGAAACUCGAGGUGAGGAAGCCCAAGCCAAUGGCCGCCAUCACGGUCAGAUCUUGGCCAACUUGAUAGGAUGCCACGAGCCCCUUUUGAUCCUCUAAGGAAGCGUCAUAGUGGGUAAAAAAAUAGAAGAGGAGAAUGAGAGCUGCUUCCAGUGUUAGGGCCCAGAGGGGCAGGCAGCGCCGGACAGACCGCGGGUACUUAGAG